rnacentral:rRNA from 1 species
GCGCCAUUGGAGCGGCCGAUGUCGGAUUAGCUAGUAGGUGAGGUAAUGGCUCACCUAGGCGACGAUCCGUAGCUGGUCUGAGAGGAUGAUCAGCCACACUGGGACUGAGACACGGCCCAG